AUCCAAAGGUCAUUGCUUUACUCAAUAAUCCAAAAACAACACUUGUAAACAAAUCUUGGUUCCAUUUUGAAUGAAUAUCAUCUCAAGCCAGGGAGAGGUGAGGCACUGAAUCUCAUCAAUUUUGGACAAAUCAACUCAUAACAGGUAAAAAUUGAGAAUGGGUGAACUAAAAUGAUCAGGUUAACAACCAAUUAACCAGAAAAUUUCUUGCAGUUUUUCAUUUUUUAUUAUGUUAAUACUGUUAAUCAAGCGCGCGUGCCAGUGAAAUUCCCGGGUUGCACUAUAAAGGCCAGCCGGUAACCUUGAUACCACUGACCUAUUGGUUCAACGGCGAUGUGCUUCUAUUUUAAUAGGAGAAUUAGGAGUUUAUAUCAUGUAAUUUCAAGAGGAUAAUGUGCCGGUCCGUAAAGAAAUUGGUUUGAAUAGUUCAUUGCAAAUUAUAAAAUAUUUUAUCUAACAUGACUUCAAAACCCAUAAUUCUUGUGUGCUGAUUGUAGGAAUUUUAGUUUGGUACUGGGGUGGCCGAGAGCUCAUAAAAUUUGCACUGUGUUUGGUGGUGAAACUGUCCAAAAGUGGUUCAAAACGUUUCCUUCUGGAAAGAAGGGAUUGAAGAUGAACCAUCGUCUUGCAGACCUGUCUUGAAUGACAACAAAUUGAGGGAAGCUAUCUGCAAGACCAUAUAUAGACCCAAAACCUAUUCUUUGGAUAAGAAAAACAAUCACAGAACCCUCUAUCACUGAAUGGAUUCAAUAAAACAAAAGGAGAUGAGGAAGAAACUCCGCUGGCGCUAAAAACAGUAAACAACGCUCAACAAACUUGAACUCACUGCUACAGGUAGAGACUCAACAGGAAUGAUAGGAUUAUUCACCUAUCACAGGAUCUGAGAAAACAUCUACACAACAUGGGCAUAUUCCAUUACCCAUUUGUAGAUAAUACAAUGAGGUGUAAGAAACUGCCAACCAUGCUUCAAAUGUGAACAUCCCAAUAGAGAUAUAGCCUGGGAUACAAAAAAAAAAAAAAAAAAAAA